rnacentral:lncRNA from 1 species
GAGCGCGGGGAGCCGGCGCGGGAGCGGGGCGCGCGGCAGGUACCAUGCGGGCGCGCGAGCCCGGCGAGACCCCUGGCAGGCCCGCUCCCCACCCGGGGGCGCGCUGAGACGGCAGGUGAGCUCCCCCAGAGUGCCGUCGCCACUUCGACCAACUUUGCGGUAAGUUCGCUGGGGCGCGGGGGCGAGGGCGUGGAGCGCGCUGCGGUGCGGGCUCUGUGGGUGCCCGCCCGGUCCCCGGCUCGGGCUCCGGCGCUGCCGAAAACCGAUGAGUGCGCGACCUUGCGGAGGGUGCAGUGACUCGGUCCUUCCCCCUUGGGAAGUUCAGCACUGGCUAGUGGGGUUCCGGCGGCGGAGUGGGAGGAGGCGACCGCGCGGGGCCGGCCCGGAGCCAUUGCUGGGGUCCGAUCCUUUCUGGCUCGCCGCCUUCCCCCCGUGAGCUCGCCGCGUUGCGCCGGCCUCGCGGUCUCCUGGGGCAUCCCGCCGUCUGCGAAAGACCCUCUCGCUGAGAAGGGCACGCGGGAGGCCCGCGCGGGGCUGCCGGGUCCCUGGGUCCCUGGGUGUUUGCGCCCUGCAGGAGCGCUGCUUGGAGGUGUAGAUGCAACCGGUGGACUGCGGAGUGAAGGGCUGCGAGGCUGCAUUUCGCGGCUGAACAUCUGCACAAUGUGCGGUUUGUCAGUGUUUUCUGUCUUCUCUGGAGGAGGAACUUUUAAGAUCUUUUUAAAAGAAAGAGGUUUUGGUCUUUCAUUGCUUAAAAAAGAAAAAAAAAACCUCAGUGCUUUCUUUUACAGAGCCAACUUUCUGCUGUGUGUGAGAUUUUUUUGUUCCCGCUGAUGUGAAUUGCAAGGCUUUGGAAACAAGGACGCAAUUGUAUGAGUUAGGAAAGUAAACUCAUAAAUAUUUUCUAUGCAGUUAAGUUUUUUUUUUUUUUCGUGUGUCUGAACUGUGGUUUCAUUAAGUGGCUUUUGUUAAGCAAUUCCCGGGUGCCUGAUAUAGGCGAUUUUUUAAGUGGAUAUUAACAGUGAUUAUUAGUAUGAGAAAAGGCUGAAAAGAAAAUGACCUUCAGCUAUUCACUUCUUUUUCAAAAGCAGAUUCUUAAUACCUCUUAUAUUCAGAUACAGGUUUCGAUAGUUUAAUUUGUGUGUGAGAACUAGGUAAUAGUGAUGUUUUUCAUACUGUUCUUAAUGAGUUUGGUUAUGCUGUCAAACACAUACAGUUGUUACAGGGACGUUUGAAAAGUUGUUUCUCGAGUUAAUAGUUAAUUGUGAUAUUUGUCUUUGUCUUUUUGUCUUAGGAAGGCAGCUCUGAUUCCACAAUUAGAAUUAUUCCUUCGUAUUUAAGAUGUAAAAAUACUUAAAACACUAUGUAAUUUUUUAAAACAACAAUUGGUAUAAGCCUUGAGUUAUGCUAAACAUGGCAUUUAACAAGCGUAAGGUAAGGUUUGAUUUGAAUAAAGUUUGCAUUUGUAUACCCAUUUUUUGAAAAAUGAACACCUUAAAUGAGCCAAAUUCUUUGGCACUCUGAAAAGAAGCGAGGUUGUUAGAGGACUUUAUAAAAUCAUUUUGGGCCACCUGUAUAUUCAUUUGUCUCUUUUAAUUAGUCACUGGAAGUAUCCCCGUUGGGUUCUUAUCAUGUUAGUAGAUCAUUUAAAUCCAUGGUCCGGACAGGUGCCAAAAGAAAAA